rnacentral:tRNA from 1 species
GCCCCUGUACUCCAAUCGGCAGAGAGCGGCCCCUUAAAAGGGUUCCAGUGAGGGUUCGAGUCCCUCCAGGGGCA